rnacentral:rRNA from 1 species
AGAGUUUGAUCCCGGCUCAGGAUGAACGCUAGCUACAGGCUUAACACAUGCAAGUCGAGGGGAAACGACAUCGAAAGCUUGCUUUUGAUGGGCGUCGACCGGCGCACGGGUGAGUAACGCGUAUCCAACCUGCCCAUCACUUGGGGAUAACCUUGCGAAAGUAAGACUAAUACCCAAUGACGUCUCUAGAAGACAUCUGAAAGAGAUUAAAGAUUUAUCGGUGAUGGAUGGGGAUGCGUCUGAUUAGCUUGUUGGCGGGGUAACGGCCACCAAGGCGGGGACAUCAGUAGGGGUUCUGAGAGGAAGGUCCCCCACAUUGGAACUGAGACACGGUCCAAACUCCUACGGGAGGCA